UGACGUAACACUAACUAACCCUGUUAGUUAGCUGUUACACCGACAUGUGGGCCCCAGCCGUCAGGUUUGACCUGGACUGGCGCCUUUGACCUGAUGACGUCACCCCGACGUCAUGCUGAUGCAGUAAAUGAUUUUCUGUAUUUAUUUUUAUACAGGAAAUUCCAGGAAAUUGUAUAAACUUCUAAAAUUCAUAUAAAAUCAACCAUAGCUCCAAAUCAAACAAAUUAUAUAUGAAAAAUUAUCAGAAAAAUUCAAGGAAUCCAUCUGUACCAUUUUCAUGCAUGUUUGAACAAUGUUUGUCCUCUAUUUUGGACAAAACAAAUAAAGGGCAUUUAAAUAAUCAUAUAUGGAGUUUGAAUUUGGAUCAUGUAUUCAAACCAACUUCAUUUAAAUCAUAGCUAGGUGCAUUAGCUCAAAUCACAGCAUAUUGCCAUGUCAUGAUCAUGCAUCAUAUUGUAGCAUUGCAUUGAUUGUGUUCUUUCUCAGUUGCCGGUGUUUGUCCCCUCUCGAUAGACGUGGUUCCGACGACGAGUUCGAUGACACCGAUGAAGAACUAUAUUAUCUUCAGAAGUGCCAGGCAAGCAAAACCCCCUUGUUCAUUCCGAUACAAUCCCACUCUCUCGCUCCUGCUCUCUUUUACUGCAUUAGGACAACAACGAUUCAACUGUUACCUGCUGCGGUAGUUGAACCCCUUUAUCCUCUGCAUGACCUGUCAUUGCCACAGUAAAUAGAUGAAACCCACUAGCAUGAGUAGGAGUUGUUUGAGCCCUGAUGUGCCUACUCAUUCAUGCUUGUUUGUCAUGCCUGCUAUUGCUUAGAGUUGAGUCAGGUCUGAUUCAUCGGGAAUGAAUCGGAGGUGUGUAUACAUGUCCUACUGUUGAGAGCUAAGUGUGUGAACACGAUUUGGUAAAGGUAGCGGUGAGAGGCCAUGUAGGAGUACAUGGUGGGUUGUCUCAUUGCAGCCGUCCUCAGGAACUGAGUUCUGUGUUUGUGAUCCAUGAACAGCUACUACCACUCAUUGGGAUCCUUAAUUGACCCUCUCGGCUUCUUAUUCACGCUUGUUCUCUGUCCAGGAGUUGCAACUAGUUUCUGGUGUUUGUAGGUAGUGCUAGUAGUCUACCAAGUGGCACCCGGUACAGGUGGGCUUGGGACAGACUAGGCACAGUGGCCUGGUGUACCAAGUGGCACCCGGAUGGUGGGCUUGGGAACCCUGCACACAUCGUUUGGGGCCGUGAGCGACACCCCGGCCGGAUCUCCUUGCGGAUGGAACCCGAAUAGGCGAUAAACCUGGACGAGAGACUUGAGUGUUUAGAUAGGCCGUGGCCGACUCCCUCGCCCGGCUUCCGCUUGAAGGUUGCCGAGGUACAUGACGUGUACAGGGCGAUAAGUGGCGAGAGUGUGUGUGAAGAAGUACACCCCUGCAGGGUUAUCAUUAUCUAUUCGAAUAGCCGGAUUCCUCGGAUAUGGAAACUUGGACCCCUUGUACAGUUCAUAGACAAGUGAAAGUGGAUACUCUAAAAUACGCAAGAUAAGCGUGAGUGCUAUGGAUGGCGUUCUCGUAGGGAGACGGGAGCGGAUCCAUAGUGGCGUAUUGAUAUGGUGAAUAUGUGGACUCGUGUGCGCCACCUCAAAAGAGUUACUUGCAGUCGUAGUUUAGGAUAGCCACUGAGUCAAAGCUGGCUUGCUGCUGUUAAACUCCACCAUCCCCUUUGUUGAUAAUGAUGCAUAUGUAGUUAGUUCUGAUGUAAGUCUUGCUGGGUACAUUUGUACUCACGUUUGCCUAUUUUAUGUUUUUGCAGAGAGACCUCGGUCUCGCUAGUAGUUCCGCGUGGACUUCGACGUUUAGCUUGUUACCUCAGCUACGAUCUUGUGCCCUCGGCAGGAUCUGGUAGAUAGUCAGGCUUCAUAGCCUUUUUCAUUUGUAGAUGUCUGUACUCAGACAUGUUGAGCUUCCGCUUGUGCUUUGAUUUGUAUGCUCUGAAUGUUGGGUCAUGAGACCUAUGUUUGUAAUAUCUCGCUCCUCGGAGCCUAAUGAAUAAAUACUUGAGUCGUAGAGUCAUGUUGUGAUGCCAUGUUGUAUUUGCACAUAUCGAGCAUAUUGUGUGUAUGUUACUGAAAUGCUUGGUAUGUGUGGGAUCUGACUAUCUAGUUGUUUAUCUUUAGUAGCCUCUCUUACCGGGAAAUGUCUCCUAGUGUUUCCACCGAGCCAUGGUAGCUUGCUACUGCUCCGGAAUCACUUAGGCUGGCCGGCAUGUGUCCUUCUUCGUUCCUAUGUCUGUCCCUCCGGGGAAAUGUCACGCGUUGAGUACCGGAGUCCUGCUAGCCCAGUGCUACAGCCCGGAACUUACUCGCUGAUGACCGACACGUUCGAUGCUGGGUCAUGGAUGCCUGUCCCUGUAAGUCUGUGCCACUUUGGGUUUAUAACUAGCCAUGUCAGCCCGGGCUCCUUUUCAUAUGGAUGCUAGCGACACUAUCAUAUACGUGUGCCAAAAGGCGCAAUCGGUCCCGGGCAAAGGUAAGGCGACACCCGUGGGAAUACCGUGCGUGAGGCCGCAAAGUGAUAUGAGGUGUUACAGGCUAGAUCGAUGUGACACUGAGUCGGGGUCCUGACAGCUUUGGUAUCAGAGCUUGACUGCCUGUAGGAUUACCAAGCCAAACUGGUCGAAGUUGAGUCUAGAAAUGCUUUAGUUAUAUGUAAGGGAAUUGAUUGUGGGAUGGAACGUAAGGCUCUUUUUACUCCUUAUACCUCAUGGCCUUCUGAUCUGAGUCAACCUCUUCUCUUCUACGGGGAUUAAGAACUAGGCUUCUCUUCUUUCUAUCAGGAUCACGUGUUACUAAUCCGUAGACUUAUAGGAUUGUUGGUUUCAAGCCUCAGUUAAGUUACUACUACUUCCGUAUGUUAAUUGUUGAUCUUGAAACCUUGAUAUUGUGCUUCUGAGUGGCGAUGCCACCAUUUUUGUAGCAUGUCUAAAAUCAUUUUGAGCAUUUAUAGCCGUUAUGCUGUCCGAGUCACCCCAGGUUUCUAAACAGUCUGAUGCACUUGCAAAUCCUUUCCCUCUGGUUUUGAUGUUCCUUUGGGCCAGGUUAAUCACACUAAAUGCUGAGUUGAGGUAUUCUAUUGCCUCGACAUAUAUGUUGGAAUUAUUAUUAUGACCCUAGGUGUCUUAGGGGAUCAUCUAGUAAUCUAGCCAUGAUUUGUGUCCCAGUGUGAUGAUUCUGGCCUUUAUUCUCGAAAGCAUCCCGUGAUGCCAUUUAGUUAGUAGGUAUUCUACUCGUGGGUUUCGAACCCAAGACUCACCCUACUUAUCUCAUGUUGAUAGUCUUUGCUCGUUCCUUUGGGAUAUUAGUAACCUUUGCAUUAUUCCUCGUGGUCCGUGGUAUUUUCUUCUUCAAAAUACUAUGAACCGCUUAUGGCAGAAGUUUUUUGGAUCAAAAGAUCACAACAGGAGUGCUCGUGAUGAGUUCUCCACUUUAUAUUGUGACUCUGCCAGUUCUACCUUUCCGCAUGGAUUAUCCGGAAGAAAUUUGUUGAAUUUGGUUCGACAUACUAAUCUAUGCAUCCACAACUCAGAAAAUCAUAUGUUCCUUUGAGUUGUCCCCCUUUAGUUGUAUCCUGACCUUCGUCUAUCAAUUGAUAGUCAAGAGUAUGCGUGCAUUCGUUUAUCGAUGCCUAUCACUCUUGUGGUCCGUCAGGCCAUUCUAUUCCAGAAUGACUAGGAGAAACAAAUUCCAGAACCUCAUCCAUAUCUAGGAUUGGGUCAAAGCAAUUGUAAUUCGCAGAUCAAAUUGCUAAUCUAGCUUCUGCUCUGUUCUACCUUGGAGUAUUACCAUCUUGACAUUAAGAAUAUCAUGAGAAUUGCACUACCUCUUAUGAAUUCUUGACGUAGUAAUACUUCUCGCUAUCGUUAUUCAUUCCUCGGUCCCCGUGUUUUUGCAACCGGAAUACCGGCAAGUGAAUCGUAAUGUGUGAAAUCUAUACUCCUAGCAACUCCGUUGCUUGGUAGUUGAAGGACAAUAAUUUCAUCCUUAGCAUGUUGAUUCUUGAAUCAUCAUCCUAAGAUAGAUCGUGCUACCUAGUCCUUACUUACGGUGCACUCUUCGAUCAGUGAGUUUGGAUUGUGCCAAUCCCUCACUCUUGUGAUCAUAUCGUCUUGCCCUGAAAAGCAAGAUUGUUCUCGAGCUUAGUAACAUAUCGGUGGUUCGUGAUUUUCCGAAUAUCUUCUCGGAGGUAUCACCAGGUUGUCACCUGACCGCUAUGUUGAGUUCGUGAUCAAGUUGGUUUUUCUUAAACCACCCCUUCUCCAAGAAUCUGUGUUGGAUAUCCCUGAGCUAGUUGGUUGAGCUAGACAACAACUUGGAGAGUUGGAAGAUAAAAGCUUGUCUGACUUAGUUCAUCUUAAGGGAUAUCUUGUAUGUGUUGUAGAAAGAUGAUUUCUUCAUCGAUUGGUCCUCGUGAUCAGUUGUUAGAGCUAUUGUCUUGCCAAAAACUUUGAUUUGAGUGUGGGCUAUUCUCAAAUCAAAUCAGAACCAACGAUGUUCGUAAUGUUGUCUUACUCGUGGAUUUUCCUCGAGCAUACACCAUUAUAUCUUUUGGGUCUGACCAAUGCUAUCACUUGUUCUCAUAAUCAUGGAAUUCAAUCUUCAUGGAAAACCAGGAUGAAUUGUUGUUAAGCCCAUCGACAACAUCCUUGUCUUCUCCAUAGUUUUGUUGAACAUUAAGCUAGUGUUGGAAACUUUUUAAAGCAUUUGUUCAUGCUAGCUCAUGAAGCAUAUGUUCGGAUGUAAGAAGUGACUUCCUCUAGUUCAUGUACAUUUGAUGCAAGUUGCCGCCGUGAAUUCGAGAAAGUCAAUGUUGCUUCCUUUGGAAUCAUCCCAAAUCAGUCAUGCAUACGUACGAAGUAUUCUAUGGUUUGGUAGAUUAAUUACCUCCACUCCAUAUGUGUUCCUAGCACACCAAGCCACUGAUUGAUUUGUUCAAGGAGAAGAAGUUCCUUCGUAGGCUCGAGACUUACGCCAGGACUUCGAUAUCCUCGAUGAUGGUUUCCCUCCUGAACUCGCUAGUGUUUUAUUAUAAGACUACUAUGUGAUCAUGCUUGUCUUGGACAGCGUGUUCACAGGUUUGUAGCAGAACCAGCUCAUGUUUUGGAGCUUGCUACCGUAGUUCAUUUCCCGAGAAUCUCGCGACGUCAUCUCGUCGGUUUGUGUUGCAAACUUCCAUUUCACUUUCUAGACUCGAUGAGUCUAGAUUAGUCCGACACCAACCAGAUCUGAAUCUCAGGCAGAUAUGAUGGUUGGAACGUUUCCCAAGAUUUAUAAUAUGGGUCUCUCUGUAACCCGGUAAAAUGGAUGUCGUGGUCAACCCACCCAACCGGAAGACCUGUUAUUGUAGUAUCUUGAUUAAAGAAGUUGGCCACCUCUCCAUAAGGACUUCGUAGGAAUUAUUCCCUAUUUGUGUGCCUUAUGAUUUCUGUGCUCCCGACGUCCGACCUGUUACUUGAUGUUCUAGAUAUCAAACCAUAUCUAUGAAUGGGUUAUGCUAGCACAUCAAGGAGAACAUUAGAAGCGGAGUGCUAAAUGCCUCUCGGUCAAUCAUCCAGAUUUUGUUCCCUUGGCCCCGCCAAGGUGAAAUCUGAGAAGGUGUUAUCUUCCUUUGUAUUUGCAUCGUCCAUCACAAUUCAUCAUGGUAGUAUGUUGUGUUGUCAGCACCCUUGACAUGGAUGUUGGUAAAACCUUGAUGAAUAUGGAAAUGCUCAAGUUCUUGAGAGCACGCACAAGCACUAUGUAUUAUCACCGGCACUAACUGGAAUUGUUCCCAGUCUUCUCGGUUAUGCUAUAACCACUCCAAUAGUGGAAUCACUCUCUACUAUUGAGCUUAUCCCCAGUUACUAAAAUCACCCUUUGUGUUGUCUUCAACAAGGUAAUCCACAUCAUCCAACCUGGCCCGAGGAUGUCAUUCUUUCGGACUCCUUCAAAUAAUUGAUUGUGUAUUACCUUAGGCUGGUAUAAAGAGUUUCAAUGAUCUCUAAAUCAAAUAUAAUUCUUUUUGCCACUUAAGGGGAUAUAUCUUCGAGUCACCUUCCCUAAGGUGCAUCAUUAUGGUGUCAUGUCAAAAUAACUCCUCGCUACGUUGACAACCGUUCACCACCCUCUUAGGUGUGGAAUUGUUGUCUACCUAGUGAACCUUCGUCAUCUGUUCCACUCCAUUCCUCUAGACGUAUGCUUUGUAUCUCAGCUUGAGAGAUGUUUUUUGACUCGUCUCGCGAGCUGAUCCUAAGUUGUUUGAUCUUCGAGAAGAUCGAUCCUUCUAGAGUUUUCUUUCUCCUCUUGUUGUCAUGUCGAUUAGAGUUCUUAGAGCAAGACAUCAAGAUAAUGAUGGUGAGCGAAUCAACGUUCAUUUGAAGUGCACCCUGGAUCGUGAAGGUUGUGUUCGUUUGCGUUCCCCCCCCCCUUCGCCUUACCCUACGCUUGAAUCUCGGGACGAGAUUCUUGUUUAGUGGGGGUGAGUUGUCACAUCCCUAGUUCUGACAAUGCCUAGUGCAUGCAUUAGAGUGUUGCAUCAUGUUUAAAUUUCAUUUAAACCUGAAAUGGGAAUGACAGAACUCCCAACCCCCUCUGAAUCAACUAGGGUUUACUAAAAAUAUUUUCAAUGAACCUGAAAUGCCCUUCUAAAAUGUCCAUCAUUUUUGUCUUGGUUCAGAACCUCUGCCAAAAGUGAUGCACAAUUUCCUAGGUCAUCCCAAGGUCUUUGAAUUAAAUCAUAAUUAUUUGAAUUUGGGCAUUUAAAAUUAUAUAAAAUAUUUUAAAUGCUCAAAAAUCUCCAAACUAAAAUGUUUCAUGUUGGAAAUAAUCCAACUAUGGACCAGGAGUAGUUUGGUGAAUUUUAGAACCUUUUAGGUAUUUUUAAUAAUUCAACAAAGUUGCAGAAAAAUAGAAAAGGAAAAUAACAGAAACAGAAAAUAACAGGAAAGACUUACCUGGCGCCCGCUAAUCGGCCCACCUGCCGGCCCAGCCCAGCGCCGCGCCAGCGAGCUGCUUGCCGGCCAGGCAGGCAGGCAGGUGCUCGACGGCGAGCACCGCAUGGGUGCCACGCACCUGCUCGCCGCCUCGCUGCUUCUCUCGCCCGGCUAACGCCGUGAAUCACUCCCCCUCUCUCCCCGGAACCCCCCGGACGCCUCCUCUCCUCUCCAGCUCCUUCCCCUCGCGCUCCCCAGCCAUGGCCGACGCCACCGCCGCCGUGCCCACGUCGUAGCCGUGCUCCCCGUCGUCCGUGCGUCUUCUCGUCGUGUCCAGGAGCUCCGUCGCCGUCCACUUCGUCGAGCUACCCGAGCCCCGUGUGCUCGCGAGGCCCGAGUCCACCGCACCGACCUCGCCGAGUUCGCCGUCGCCGGAGAUCCCCUUCAACGCUGCCGCCGCCUCAGCUCGUCCCCGACCCCGCCGGUGGCCUCUACGAGUGCCCAGUGAGCCUAGCUACCCCUCCUACCCUUCCUCCCUUGCCCCCGAGCCGUGUAGCCACCGCACGAAGAUCGACCGCACGCGCCGCCGCGGACCACGUCGCCGACGUGCCUCCGGCUAACCACCGGCCACCUCACCUUGUCCAACGCAUUCAGCACGCCGCGCUGAGGCUAACCGUGCACUCCUCGCACCUCACCGCACACCCCAGCCCGAGUUCGCUCUCACCCGAACUCCGGUGGCCGCCAAAGCCGCCGCCGGCGCCAACUCCGGCCACCCCGACCCCAACGGACUCCACCAAGAGCCGCGGCUCGUCCUCAGCUCCACUCCGAUGCCCUCCGCGGCUCGUUUGGUUGCCGGAACGGCCAAAAUCACUUCCGCCGCCGCGUCGGGCUCGCCGGCGGCUAAACGCCGGUGCAGCCGUGUCGACUUUGACCACGGGUGGGCCCCGGUUGACUCUGUUGAGUCAAUGACAGGUGGGGCCCCCUUCUGCUAAUUACCCAGAUCAGUUUAAACUAAAUUAAAUUAGUUAAUUAGCCACUGACACGCGGGACCCACAGGUCAGUUUGACCUGGACCAGCCCGUUGACCUGAUGACGUCACUAUGAGGUCAUGCUGACGCAGUAAUCCUUUUCUGGAAUUAAAAUAAAUCCAGAAUGGUUUAUAAAUUUCAGAAUUUAGUUCAAACUUCCAAAAUUCAUAUAAAUUCAACCGUAGCUCCAAAUCAAACAAGUUAUAUAUGAAAAAUGAUCAGAAAAAUCCAAUCUAUCCAUCUGCACUGGUUUCAUGCAUGUUAGAGCAACUUAACCCUGCUGUUUAGAUGAAACAAGUUAAUGCACCUUUAUGACUUCAUAUAAUGGGUUUGCAUUUGAAUCUUUGGUUCGAAUGGAUUCAUUUCAAUCUGUUCUAGCUUGCAUUAGCCAAAACACAUGCAUAUUGCCAUGUCAUAGCAUGCAUCAUAUUGUGCAUUGCAUUGAUCGUGUUUCUUCUCUGUUUGCCGGUAUUGUUCCCCCUCGGUAGACGUUGUACGGACGUUGUGAUCGUUGACACUGAUGAAGACUCAAUGCUAUCUUCAGAAGUGCCAGGCAAGCAAAACCUCCUUGUUCAUUCCGAUACAAUCCCACUCUCUCGCUCCUGCUCUCUUUUACUGCAUUAGGACAACAACGAUUCAACUGUUACUUGCUGCGGUAGCUGAACCCCUUUAUCCUUUGCAUGACCUGUCAUUCCACAGUAAAUAGAUGAAACCCACUAGCAUGAGUAGGAGUUGUUUGAGCCCUGUUGUGCCUACUCAUACAUGCUUGUUUGUCAUGCCUGCUACUGCUUAGAGUUGAGUCGGGUCUGAUUCUUCG
rnacentral:lncRNA from 1 species